rnacentral:rRNA from 1 species
CAGUCGCCGCGGUAAUACGUAGGGUGCAAGCGUUAAUCGGAAUUACUGGGCGUAAAGCGUGCGCAGGCGGUUAUAUAAGACAGAUGUGAAAUCCCCGGGCUCAACCUGGGAACUGCCUUUGUGACUGCAAGGCUAGAGUACGGCAGAGGGGGAUGGAAUUCCGCGUGUAGCAGUGAAAUGCGUAGAUAUGCGGAGGAACACCGAUGGCGAAGGCAAUCCCCUGGGCCUGUACUGACGCUCAUGCACGAAAGCGUGGGGAGCAAACAGGAUUAGAUACCCCCGUAGUCCCUGUCUCUUAUAC